UACAGAGGGUGCAAGCGUUAAUCGGAAUUACUGGGCGUAAAGCGCGCGUAGGCGGCUUGACAAGUCGAGUGUGAAAUCCCCGGGCUUAACCUGGGAGCGGCAUUCGAAACUGUCUUGCUAGAGUAUGGGAGAGGGAAGUGGAAUUUCAGGUGUAGCGGUGAAAUGCGUAGAUAUCUGAAGGAACAUCAGUGGCGAAAGCGGCUGGCUGGAUCGCAACUGACGCUGAGGAACGAAAGCUAGGGGAGCAAACAGG
rnacentral:rRNA from 1 species